GUUGUUCACCACAGGAUGGCGCCCUACAACUAAACCAUUCCCUUCACCAGAAGUUUCAACUAAAAUGAAAAAGAGAAUGGAAACAGUGACGAAGGUAUUUGAAAGUUACUUCAAAUUCUUGUGGAGAUGAUGUUAUCAUGUUUCUAGGACUAAGAUUAAAGUGGCUAAUCUUGUGGGAAAGAAUACCAUGAGAUCAUGAACCUCUGAGUGUAGGAGAAUGUCUCACCAGUUUCAACAGAAACUCACUUCUCAGGGUAACAGCUACCAAAAUGGUGUCAUCUAACACUGAGAUGAGGCCUGUUCAUGCACUCCUGUCCACUUCUGGAAAAGAGACACAGACCAAAAUAUGAUCUUAUUCUUGUGAUCAUCAAAGCAAUGAAGCAUUCAUGAAUCCAGAAAGACCACCAAGGAGCCAUUAUCCAUUUAACCACAUCAGAGUCUCUUCAUAACAAAGAGUUUGGGCUUACUCCCUGUUAGCCCACAGGAUGGUUUGGUGAGAUCCUGAUCAACCUUUCUGUCCAGUUUUAAAGGAUCAGAAGAGGCAUAUUUAGUAAAACCACUGAUAUACACCCAAAACGCAGUCUCAAGGGCACAGUAAUAGCCUGCAUCAAAAUAAGGCUUUUGCACAUCACCAACUAUUGAAAGUGAUCCUAAAGUCACAAGACAGAUAUUGAAGUGCCAUAGUGGGAUUAUUCUUGGGAUUCUUUCUACAAUGGCUUCACAGGUCAGAGAAACUUUUAAUCUUGACUCACUGACAAAUGCCCUUCA
rnacentral:lncRNA from 1 species